rnacentral:rRNA from 1 species
UACGUAGGGAGCUAGCGUUGUUCGGAAUUACUGGGCGUAAAGCGCGCGUAGGCGGUUUUGCAAGCCAGAGGUGAAAUGCCUGAGCUCAACUCAGGAAUGGCCUUUGGGACUGCGAGGCUUUGAGGACUGGAGAGGUGAGUGGAAUUCCCAGUGUAGAGGUGAAAUUCGUAGAUAUUCGCAAGAACACCAGUGGCGAAGGCGGCUCACUGGCCCGAUACUGACGCUGAGGCACGAAAGCGUGGGGAGCAAACAGGG